UUAAUCAAAUAGUAUUGAAAAAUUUGUGAGAUAUUCCACUUUUUUUAACCAGAAAAUGCAAAGGAAAUAAAACGAUAAACGCCGCUCGGUCCAAUUUAAAAAUGAAAUGAAAUUUCGAAAGCGAAUUGUUAACUUAUUUUUGUUUUCUAUGAUGCCUAAAAGUGACAAAUGAAAAGCGAAUGCAUUCAGUUGAGAUAAGACGGCUGGGAUGAAUGUGGGUGACUGGAAUAUAAUACAGAAUGAUUACCUAAAAUAAUCACAGAUGAGCAUCCAGAUUCUAAAUUAAUCUUUCUAUUGUCUACAUGUUUGUUAGUGAAGAGAAUUAGUAUAUUACCAAGUUUCAUUUGGAAGAAUUUACCGCCAAUGUACUUGAUUUUGGAAAUUCCAUUAUCAUUAAUCAUUCUCGAAUGUGCACUUCUCUACGUAUGGACGCCGCUCAAAGACUAUUUACUACUGCACUCGGAUGAUAUCCUGGUACAUUUGUACGAGGAUAUGAACCUUGAGAGGUUCAUAUGUCCCCUGUGUUGUGACAAAAGCGACUGCUCCUCCGCUUUUGCUGCCCUGGUAGUUAAAGUGAUGAGUUUCAUGCUAUUGUUAUCAAUAUGUUUUAUAACAAAACAGUAAUUGAUUUUUGUUAUAUUUUAUAGCAAUUUUGUUUGUUAAUAUAAUUUUAUUACCUGUCGAAAUACUUAAUUUACAUUAUACUUUAUUGUACACCACAAAGAAAGAAAAAGAAAACAAAACAUGGAUAAAUCCUAAAUAAAAGUAGCAUACAAUUUUGGCGCCCUUAUAGCUACAUAGCGAUUUCUUCCAGGCAACCAACGGUGUAAAUAAUAACUCAUAGGAUAUGAGGUAGGUGGUGCUGUAAUAAUAAAUGAAAUAAUAUUAAUCUAUAAUUAAUACGCAUAAUAUAUAUCAAUAAAUAAAUUAUAUUAUCAAUACAUAUAAAAUUACAAAUAUAUAAUAUAAAUAUAUACAAUAAGAACGAAUAGAAAACAAUAAGAAGUCCUCAACUAUAACAAAAAAGAAAAAAAAUGCAAAAUACAAAAAAUACUAAAAUAAAAUAAAUUAUUGGAGUUAAGGCAUUUGAGACAAAAAGUGAUCUUUUACAAGUUUUUUAAAAAUAUCUAUGGAUUUGGCCUCCCAAAUAUUUAAAGGAAUAACGUUCCAGAGCCUGAAUUGUAAAAGAAUUAUUAUAAAAAGAUGACUUGUGUUCGGGCACCCUUAAAAUCCAUAGUUUCAAAGAACGAAGAACUUCUCCAGGAAUCCCUAUAAAUAAAAAAGUUUCCUUCAAGUAAGGGGGAGGCACAACACACAGUACAGAAUAGACAGGAUGUGCAUAUCGAAAAACUUUGUUUUGAAUUACCUUAAUCUGAAUUAAUAAGACAUUUU